CUAAUAUGUGUCUUGCAGACCAUAUUAAAUAAUCUCUAAGAAAGAAAAGUUUGAAAUAAUUUCCUGUUGGAGUAUUCUGCUUUUCCCACUAGAUGGCCUCCAAGAACCAGUAUUUUCCAGUAUUUUGUAAUUGGGUGUGGUUGUGUCUCUAAAGUUGAGUAAGAUAUUUACUGUACUAUGAUAUGUAGUGGGGUGUUUGAGAUGUGGGGGUAGAAGGGAGGAGGCAAUAGGACUGGAAUCUUACUAGCCAAACCAGGCAUAUUGGCAGGAUUGCAGGAGAGUCUGUGAACAUUGAAUUAAUUCAGCUGGGAUUAACUCUUGUUUCCAGUGAAUAUUUAAACCAUUCGAGCAUUAGCUGGAGGUGACUGGAAUUACAUCUGUCUUUCCAGGUGGUUGUUCCUUCCCUUUAGCUAUAGAAUCUGUUUGGGUUCUAUUUUCUAUAAAUAUGAAACUAGCUCAUGCAGAACAGGACAGAGAGUUUAAAUGGGAAGAAAUAAGAACUUGAUCUCAGAAAACCUUUGGCUGGGAGGCAGGAAAGACCAGUUUGAAUUCCUUCAGGUAAGGAAGAAAUUAAAUGGAAGAAACAUGCUGAGUAAGUACUCUAAGUAUGGAGUUAAAGAGUAAAAGGAAGCGCUUGACCCACAAGCUUCACUGGGGGGAAAAACAAAUCACAAACAACUCGCCCAAACCCCCACCACUUUUGGGUUGACAAGCUAUGCAAAAUUCCCUGCCAAGGUAGUGAGUCCCAAGCAGAGAUUACUGUCCAACCACUUCUAUGUUGAAUACUGUAUUUUUAGGUUAACUUUUAACCUUUUCCCCAUGAGUGCCACCAUAUUAAUUGCUGUGGAUGCUGCUCAGCAAAACAGUAUUUAAAGCUGGACUGUACUGGGGAGAUUUCUGUAGAAAUCAAUGACCUGUUAGGAAUGUGAUGGUUCUUUUCUUGGAACAGUGAGGAAAGUAUGGGGACAGUUUGAACAACAAGGAAGAACAAUAAGGAAAAAUUUCCCAUUUAUGUGUUAAUCCUGCAUUGCCCUUAUGAGCCAGGAGACCUGAAAGAGGAGAAGCAUGUGUGUAAUCAGGUGGCUGUAGUCUGCAUGCCAGGGCUCAAUCAAGAAUGUUUGUGUUUGAGGUGGGAAGGUGUACACAAGGUUUCAGUCACUUUUAUCACAGUAAAUAAUAUUUUAUCUGGGCUUGUAUGGGUUCUUUUGGGGUUUUUUUCCUACUGUGGAGUUCCCAUUCAUGUAUCUGGUGAUGGUGUUACCAGAAAAGCUAUGGGAAUUGGCUAGAGUCCAAGGCUACUAAGGUUUCUAAGUGCCUUUUCAAAUUAUUAUUGUUUGAGUACUUAUGUGAAAGACAGGUUGUCAGAUACUGUGAGGUGAUUGAUUACCUUUUCUUGUUAGCCUUGUGUCUUUCCCUAGGGCAGGCCUCUUCUCUAAUCCACUGCUUAUUUAUAGGGCAAAUAGUGAAGUUUAUCCUGCCCUGGGCCACCUGUUGAUAAAGAUACUGUUCCAGCUUUCAUCACUUCCUUAUUGUAUCUGUUUCAUAAAGUAAACAGUAUGAUUUAAGAGCCAGCUUCCUCUUUUAGUUCUUAUAUAACCAAAAAAUUUUCCAAGACAAUUUCCUGCCAAAAAAAAAAAAAUAGCUAUCACUAUUUGGAGGAGAACUUGAACAAAGCAUUCACUCCAGACUUAAGCAAAACCCCUCUGAUUAUCUGAUUUUCAGAGAUGUAGUGAACAAACAUCCCUUGCAACUUGGCUUUCUGUAAAUGAAAAGCAAAAAAGCAGAAAACUCAAAUGGUUAAAAAGGGCAAAUCCUAGCAGUUGCUGCUUCUGAGCGUCAAAACAAUUGGGUUGAAUACCGUGGGCUAGGUUUUGAGGCAGAAUUAAUUCUCUUCACAUUGUUUGGAUGGGACCAUGUUUUUCAUUUGUGCUGAAUACAGGGUUGAUAAUUCAAGGAUGUUUUUGUUACAGCAGAGGAGUGCUCACGCAACCUCAAGGCCUUUUCAGCUUCUUACCCCACCUGGUGAGAGGUGACUGUUAGACAUGAUGGAACCUGACUUUUCUGGAGAUGGCUGGACCCCUGCCUGCUCCUGGGAAAGGCUUUAUUCUGAUCAUUACAGCUGAGCUGCAGAGUGCUUUGGUGUGAUGAAUGAUACUGGCCAAGUGACAGCAGUGGGUCAUUCUCAACAUGUUUGGGCUUAUCCCAGUUAUUUCCUCAGCUCAAUGUGGAAACUUCCACCUGGAGAUGGGGCCCUGGCUUAGUUCAGCCACAGGACUACAGAGCAGCCUGGUACCUGGUUUGUGGUGUGUGAACAUCAUGGUCUAACAGUGCCAGGGUAGGCAGGUGAGAAUGACAGCCUGUGAGGAGUUUCGGAUGGAGGAGGAUGCUCUGUCUGCUGGUGUUGGUGUCAGACAGCCCAGGGAGGGACUCACUUGGGUGAGCAUCCCAGUUGGCUCCCAGCUGCAACACCCUCUAUCACAACUACAGUAAACUGAACCAUGCCUUAGCACUGCCCCUUCCCCUCUUGCAAGGGCAAGGAAAGUCUACAACCCUUCCUGGGCACAAGCAUGCUUGCAGAAAGGUGUGGGGGGAAGCCCAGUUUGGUCAGCUUCAUCCAGACCUGCCACACAGCUGGCAGUGAGCUGCCACCCUCUCCUGACUCUGCCUUCUGCCUGCCGAAAGCUGCUGAUCAUUUCUACAGUAAUGAGCAUGCUGAGCUUUGCUGGGACAGCUGCUGUAAUGCAGCAAACACACGUAAAUGAGAAGGAAUAUAUCAGCACCUUGAAAGAAACUGGCCCUUAGCUCCUGGAUGGGAGCUGAAGCAAGACAUGGCAGCUGCAGCUGGUGAACACUGUGUUACUUCAGGCAAUGGACUUUCCAGCUGACAGUUGUUCUUGAUGUGAACAUGAACCUGUGACUUUCAGUCAUCUGCCUGCCUGCCAGUGUCUGAGAGAUGCAAAUCCCAGCAUUGUGGAUGAGGAUAGGUAUGGAAUAGUUAUCUAUCAUUUGACCUUCAGUUCUAGAAUCUUCUUCCACCAGUAAAAUUCCAGGAGAAUUCCUUAACUCUGCAGCAGUGAGCCUGCCGUGUAGCAGCAAUGCUGUGGUCCUCUCCAAGCCCCCUGAGGGAAAAAGUGGUGGUGAGGAGGUACCACUCUGAUGAGUAAUUCCAUCAUACCAGGCCCAUCACAUCAUAGAAAUGUCUCUCUCUGAGGCAUUGGGCCUCUACCUGUGCACAUCUCAGUUUCCCCCCUCCAUCAGUCAACCCCCUUAGCCCAUGGACUGGAAAUCAUUGUUGCCACACAGCAAAGAUUUUAAUUCAGUAAAGAAAAAGGUGAGACUGGAGCAUGUAACUUCUCAUUUGUGAAGUAUGAAAUCAAUUUUCACAUCAAACCCUGUAUGACUUGGGCUUGUCUUUACCUACAGCUGCACCAGGGCUUCCCACUCACCUUCCAGGAUCAGCCAGGACCUGAUGCAGAUAUGUGGGGCAGAGUAAGCUAGACUCAUCUGAAGAGGCAGAUGAGAAUUACAGAAGCUGACAGGUGUAAAGAACAGCUAUGGAGAUUAUCCACAUGUCUUGCUGGGUCCAGAUCUUGAUUUUUAUUACUGUCACUAGGGCUGGUUUCAAAGACAAUUUCCUAUAGCUGUUCAUGGUUGUCCAAAUAGCAUUAAUCAUGCUGUGUCUAAGGUACAGGUGCAUUGUAGCACCAGAUUUAAUUUUACUGUACCAAUAGCCUGUAUAUUCAUACUGAACAAAUCAAGAGUUGUUUGUUUGCAGCUGGAUCAAAGCUAAUGCUCCAAUAUUAAUGAUGAACCCAAGUGGUGCCAAGCCGGUGCAAUUUCUGGGCUGGAGGAAAUGACCAUGAAGUAGCCCUACACAAAGGAUCUCCAUAAUUUAAAUUCAGUUUUACUAUAUUAUACUCUUUACACUGUAUUUUCCCUCUACAUCUCUUUAUUGCACCAUGGUUUUUGGCAAAGUCUUUCCAUCUGCUUUGUAAAAACAUUUAAUAAAUUCUUCUGGGUUUUGUUUGAUGUUGCAAAAAUAAUAACAGCAAACCUACAUGGCACUGAGUUUUGGGGAGGACAGUGGGUUGUCAUGAGUUGUAACUGCAGCAGGCACACAGAGUACUAGUGCUCACUUUUUGACUAAGCACUGAAGUGGAUGCAAAGUCAGGGAGCCUGAGGACGGUGUCAGAUGUCCUUAUAGUGUUUUCAAUCUUCUUUAAGUGUUUGAAAGCACUCUUAACUCUAAUAUGUUUCUACUUGAAUCUUUUAACCUAUUCCAUGGAUGGUUUUGUGGCUUAUACUGGCUUUUGUUUGUUUGGGGUUGCAGCAUUGUGUUUGUUUAUUUUGGUGUUUUUUCUUUUAUUUUUGUUUGGAUUUUUUAACAUCUCUUACUUUCCCCCUGAGGAAAAAAGAGACACAAGUAAAACCCAGUACUGUUAAUGACAAAUUAUUUUCGUUCCUGAACUCUUUUAUGCUUAAUUAGCUUAUACAUAGGAAAAUGAAAAUGAAAACCCCAUGCCCUACAACUAUAUGUGUUCAUGUAUAGCACCAAAUAUCUUAAAACCCUUAGUUUGUUUCUGAAGAACACCUUCAGAAAAGGUGUGUGAAAAUGGCACAAACUUUUUCCUAUAAUCCUCAUACUUAAAAAAGUACAAACACUUUUUUAUAUAAGUGGGCAGCUUCACUGUCAACCUGCACACACCCAUAAUAUGUCCAGAAACAGGCAUCAGAAACCUAAAUGCAGUAGAGGAAUCCCCCACUCCCUGUUGGUUUCCUGCAUACCUCUUUCUGUUCUCUUGUGUUUUCUCCUCUCAGAGCCCAUGGAAAUAAUCUCUCUGGGACUGGAAUAUUUUUUUCCUCAAUUGCCUCUUCUCUCUGAAUACAGAAUAUUCUCUUUCUUAUGUCUUCUUCUCUGAUGUGUUUUUCAAAAUUCUUGUCCCUGGCCUGUGCCAGCCUUGCCCGGACUCUGAGCCAGCCUGACUGAAAGCCAUUCUGAGUUUGAGGAGACAGUGGCAAUGCCACAGCCGUGCUGGGUGAGGGUUGCUGCCUGAAGCCCUGUCCUGUGUCACUGCCCUGGGUGAUGCAGAGCCUGAACAGCUGCUGUGCCCGCAUCGUUUGCAAGCACAGCUAUGGGCAGCCCUGGCUCCCCUCUCCAGACUAGAUUUGGGGGAAAAGGGGAAAAAUGAAGGAAUUUGAUGACAGCACAAGUUUGCUUUUGGAUUGAGGUACAGCCUUGGUCCUUUGUCUUUGCAGCAACAUGAGCAUCUGGAGUUGAUGGAAAUUGAAUCGAGAAGGUGGCCUGGGAACUACUAGUAUGGCUUCCAUGCUUGGUAGUCAGCAAAUCUGCUAAAUGAAAUAAGCCAAAUUCGAGCAACAUCCUGUUUCUGUGAGCAAGUGCAACACAGCUAUUUUUAUUCUCUUUCCACAGAGUGUGAUACCAAGUAAUUAAAUAUGACAGGGCAUGUCCCACAGCCACAAUACAAUGAGGGCCAUGAGGUUGAGGUCUCACUCAGCAGCAGCAGUGCUGUUUCAGAGAGAUCCCAGACUGUCUGCUGUUCCCUUAAAGUGCCUGUGGCAGAUCUAGGCUAGCAGAACACCUUGCAUUUUUGUAGCACAAAGAGAAAAGGCCUGUAUUUUCUUCUUGGUUUUCCGGUUAGGCUUGGACUAACUGGUAACAGGCUUUGACUAACUGGUAAAACAGAGUAAUAGCCGUGUUAAAAUAAAUAGCCACAUCUACUGAGGAAGUUGAAUCUUUGUUCUUCUCCAGAAGGACAAAGACAGAUCUACAUACCAUUAAUUACUGAUGCAAUGACCCAAGCAAGUUUUCAUCAGUCAUUUUAAAUGUCAUUAUAGGGGAUGGGAACACUUUCAGAAGACCACUUUUGGAGUGUAUAUUCCAGUCAGCUCCAGGAAGUCAUCUGUAUGUAAUUUGGAAGCAGAAAUUGCAUUUAUUAAGGAGUCUCCACUUCCAACAUGUUGCCUAAUGUUACGCAGAAUUAUAUGUCACACAGAGCAGAUCAAGAGUCAUAAUAGUUGCACUGGAUGAACAGAACGAGUUUCAAAAGGUAGGAAGUCGGUCCUGCAAUACAUUAUUCAUGGCUGGCCAAAUCAGCUUAAGAAGCUAUACAUAAGGGAAAAGGGGAUAAUUUAUAGCUUUCUUUACUCUCCAAAAAUUCUGACUCGAAUGUCGUAUUUUCUUUGUGCAUUAUCUCCUUGCUUAAGCAACCUCUAGAAAGAUGUUUCAGGGUAUUUGCAUUGUAUGUUUAAAAGCUUACAAUAUUUUUGAACAAAAACAUUACUAUUACUAUAAAAACUUUAUUAAAUUAAGGUAUUUUGUUUUGCUGUAACUAUCAAUUGCUAGUGAGCAGGAAAUAACUAGUAUUUUUUCUGAUGAGGCUGGCAUUUUAAUUUAUUUGCAUGGUAAGUCAUGCUUAAAUGACUUUCUGGCAAGAUAGAGAAAUGAGGAAAAUCCCUAAAUGUAUCAGUAGUUUUGUGCUGCAGAUUACUGCUCCAAGAAGUGCAUUCCCUGGACAAGAGGGAUAGAAUCUAUCCAUAGCCUUUCUAGACAUAUAAAUCAACAGUAUUUUAUUAUCGCUAAGUCUGCCUCAAAAAACAGGGCACAGACCUUUUUUCAAUUACAUUAAUAAGAGAAUCUGAAUAUUAAAAAUGCAAACAGUACUAGACUUUCACAUUAACUUUUACAAAAAUUUAACCUAUAAAUCUCUUGCUGACAGAUAAUCCAGGUAAGGUUUCUCUAUCACCUCUCAGGGUGAAAGACCGUGGUUCUCUCUUGAAUAGGAGUUUUAAAUUAUGCAGCCAUUUCUCAUGUGUGCUGGAUAGGUCAUGUUGUUUGUGAGUUAACCUGGUCAUAGAAAAAACUCUGAAGAUCUAACUUUUUCAUGCCUCACUUCCACUUCUCAUGAUGCCAUGUGUCUGUGCCUAAUUAAUAAAUUUUUCUUAAAUCUGUUUUUACUUUAUCUCGAUUUCCUCAGAUUCUCAGAAGCUGACCAUACUCUGAAUUUUCUGUAGCCAAGUAUGCUUCAUUGAAAGAUCAGGGAAGUAAAAUCAAAGGAUUGGGAAGUACAUUUUUUUUCACAUUGCUCUGACUUUGGGUUGAACUGAGUUGCCCAAAUUAAGAGCGUGAUAAUCACAAACUUCAUAAAAGAGCAAGAGAGAUACAGCUCCUUUCUUUGUGCUUCUUUGCUAAUGUUAGGCCACUGGAUUGCUAAAGUUCAAUAUUUUGUAUAAUGAAAUGCCCAAGCUUUAGUAAGAUUAUUUCUAUUAAUGCAUGACCUAUCUGAGCCUACCUCAUUGAAUUUAGCAAACAUUUUCUCCAAAGUAACUUCAGUGUAACUAAGAGUCUGGCCAUCACCUAACUGACUGUGCACUCCAGGUCACAUCAAUUCAGCUUCAUUUCUACUUUGUAUACUUUAUUCUAAUGGAAAAAUAUAACCUGGUAUUUCUUUGCAUGUGAACUCUUGACUCAAGUGAAAUCAUAUUCUUCUGAGGUUCUGGAUGUUUUUUUAUCUUAGCACUUUUAUGUCAUGGUAAAAUCGAAAUCCCGUAAUUAAAUAUAUGCUAUAUACAUCCUGGACUGUAAUUUCAUGUUAGUUAUCCAGUUGUAACUAAACAUUAUGUCUUGUUGUUAAAGAGGCAAAGAGAUACUUCCUGAAGUGGAAAACAGUGUGUUCUUCCAGAUAAUGGCAACCUUCUGAAACAAGCUAAACACAGAUACUCCAUGGGAGGAGGCAUUUAUGGGCUAGUACCGGGUCAAUAUUGAAUUAUAUGUUAUGUUAGCAAUAUAUUUGCAGUAAAGCAGCAAAUUCAACUGUUAAAAGGAGGAGUGUUGUACAGCGCUUUGUCUUUAUAUAUAAUUCAAAGAUUUGAUUUAGCACUCUGCGAUGAUUGAUCCCAGUGGGACUUCUGACAUUUCAGUAAUAUAAACCAACAACUCGGAUGUGCUGCCUUUUUUCCCUGCUGUUAUUUCUGAAACAGCACUGAGUAUGGCAGUGUUUCUGCCAGUAACCAUGAGGUGGCACAACGUGCUCAGCAGAACAGCAGCCAAACCUUUCUUUUAAUAUUCUUUUGUACGUCAUAUUUCUGGGCUUAUUUGGUUUUAAUGAGGAAAGACAGGCUGUAAAUUAGUUGAGCUUUUAGAAACCCUACUCUAUUAGAAAAUCAACGACAGAGAUACAUAUUUGUGUGCUUGUAUUUUUUGGUGCUUUUCAUUCUAAUAAAUAAUAAUUUUGAACAUUCUGCUACAGGGUGAUGUUAAAAAUAAAGACCACUGUUCUUUU